GGAAACUCGAUAUGCAUACAACGAUCAAUCCCUUUCAUCGAUAAUAAAGAAACUCGUUAUGGAUUAAUGUGUACACAGAUUCGAAAGCGCAGUAUUUGCAAAGAACGUUCAGUGAGAAGCUAAUAGCCAAAAUAAUUACAAGUAUUUAGACUUAUUCUUACGAAUCAACAUUAAAGAUGAAAUUGACACUGUUUAUAUUAACGCUUUUGUUGGCUGGAAAGCCAACUUUAUUACAACAAACAAGUACGAAGACUAUAUCAGUUCUGUCAAAAGAACAUGAAUUAAGAUUUAAUAUAAAGAUUAUCAAUA